GACGAACGCUGGCGGCGUGCUUAACACAUGCAAGUCGAGCGGUAAGGCCCUUUCGGGGGUACACGAGCGGCGAACGGGUGAGUAACACGUGGGUGACCUGCCCUCAGCUCUGGGAUAAGCCCGGGAAACUGGGUCUAAUACCGGAUAUGACUCCAUGACGCAUGUUGUGGGGUGGAAAGCCUUGUGCGGCUGAGGAUGGGCCCGCGGCCUAUCAGCUUGUUGGUGGGGUGAUGGCCUACCAAGGCGACGACGGGUAGCCGGCCUGAGAGGGCGACCGGCCACACUGGGACUGAGACACGGCCCAGACUCCUACGGGAGGCAGCAGUGGGGAAUCUUGCGCAAUGGGCGAAAGCCUGACGCAGCGACGCCGCGUGAGGGAUGACGGCCUUCGGGUUGUAAACCGUCUUUCUAGCUCCGACGAAGCGAAAGUGACGGUAGGAGCAGAAGAAGCACCGGCCAACU
rnacentral:rRNA from 1 species